GGUACAUCACUUCACUACAAUCAGUUGUCUCUACAAUACACACCUCCAGUAUAACGAUGGCCUGUGGCAGAGUUCUCUUAGCUUCAUUGAUGGUCUUUAUUCUCAUCUGCAGUUCAGUUGACGGCUACCCCUACCUGGUGUUGAGGAAUCAAUACCUUAUGCGUGGCUGUCCCUUAAUAGACGACUGUGAAGGGGAGUACAUCACCUCCUCGUGCAGAUUUCACCCAAUUAUCACGUUAGAAGAUGGAACCAUGUGUCGAGAUUGUCCUAUCAAUGUAUGCUCCGAUUAACUUCCUCUUCAACGCACGUCUUCUGAAGGACGGAUUGAAAUCUCGGAAGGAUAUCUAAAAGUCGCCGAAUUGUGUUGAUGUUGGAGACAGGGAUAUACUAAAACAGUACCUCACGUGUCAUGAACGUGCAGGCACAUGUGGAUCGAAGAAUUCCGUACAACGUCUGUAUGCUUAUUGCAUGCCCUGUUGAUUCUACAAACCGCUUUUCUUUAUGAUAAUGAAUUCAAAAACGCAUUUAUACAUAAUUUUUUUUAAAAAUCAUCGUCAUUGCUGAAUGUCUUUUUAAGCAUGUUUUUUAAUUCUAAGUGCGCAUAUAUAUCAUCUAUAUGGCGUUUUAGGCCUAGUCAAAAGUGUUCAACAAUAUAACACAUUGAUAUGUAGUAUUAACUUCGUGUUUUAUAGAGUUGCUUUAAGGCAAUAGUUACUAUGAUUCAGAUGUUCAUCAUCUUAUAUCAAAUCUUCAAAGUUUUAUGUGAUGCAAGUCAUCAAUAUUUGAAGAUUGUCAUCAAUCUAUGUGAUGCAGGUCAUCAAUAUGUGAAGAUUGUCAUCAAUAUAUGUGAUGCAGAUCAUCAAUAUAUGUGAUGUUUUUCAUAAAUUUAUGUUAUACGGUCAUCAAUUUUUGUGAUGCGGGUCAUCAAUAUGUGAAGAUUGUCAUCAAUAUAUGUGAUACAGAUCAUCAAUAUAUGUGAUAUUUUUCAUCAAUUUUUGUGAUGCGGGUCAUCAAUAUGUGAAGAUUGUCAUCAAUAUAUGUGAUGCAGAUCAUCAAUAUACAAUGUAUGUGAUGUUUUUCAUAAAUUUAUGUUAUAUCGGUCAUCAAUUUUUGUGAUGCGGGUCAUCAAUAUGUGUUGCAGGCCAUCACCUACAUUAUGUCUUCUUUUUUUUAAUAUUUCUAUGUAUUGCUGGGCAUUACAGUUUUAUAUAUACUUUCAAUACUUUGUAAUAAAAUUGUAAAAUACA